GACGAACGCUGGCGGCGUGCCUAAUACAUGCAAGUAGAACGCUGAAGGAGGAGCUUGCUCUUCUGGAUGAGUUGCGAACGGGUGAGUAACGCGUAGGUAACCUGCCUGGUAGCGGGGGAUAACUAUUGGAAACGAUAGCUAAUACCGCAUAACAGUAGAUGUUGCAUGACAUUUACUUAAAAGGUGCAAUUGCAUCACUACCAGAUGGACCUGCGUUGUAUUAGCUAGUUGGUGGGGUAACGGCUCACCAAGGCGACGAUACAUAGCCGACCUGAGAGGGUGAUCGGCCACACUGGGACUGAGACACGGCCCAGACUCCUACGGGAGGCAGCAGUAGGGAAUCUUCGGCAAUGGACGGAAGUCUGACCGAGCAACGCCGCGUGAGUGAAGAAGGUUUUCGGAUCGUAAAGCUCUGUUGUAAGAGAAGAACGAGUGUGAGAGUGGAAAGUUCACACUGUGACGGAAUCUUACCAGAAAGGGACGGCUAACUACGUG
rnacentral:rRNA from 1 species